GGGAAGAGGAGGAAGAGGAAGAAGAAGGGAAGGAGAAGGAAGAAGAGGUUAUAGAGACGCAGAAAGAAGAGAAGAGGAGGAGGAAGAAAAAGAACAAGGAGGCUAGGGUUUUUUUAUUCAAUCAUCAAUCGCCUCAUAUAUGAGAGGGUUGGUCUUUAUAUAGACCUUACAUCUUGACCAAGUUAAGUAAUCAAUUGACCAAAUCAAUCAAUUGAUACUAAUUAAAUUUGGACCCUUACAUCAAUUAAUCUCUUACCAAAAUUGGUCCACUAAAUUGACCCAAUUACAUAAACCCAAUUGACUAGUCUGAUAACAAAACAACUAACCAAAUUG
rnacentral:lncRNA from 1 species